rnacentral:tRNA from 1 species
GCCUCUGUGGCGCAAUGGUAGCGCGUACGACUCCUAAACGAGAUUAUCGUCGGUAAUCGUAAGGUUCGGAGUUCGAGUCUCCGUUGAGGUA